rnacentral:rRNA from 1 species
AUACGUAGGGUGCAAGCGUUAAUCGGAAUUACUGGGCGUAAAGCGUGCGCAGGCGGUUAUGCAAGACAGAGGUGAAAUCCCCGGGCUCAACCUGGGAACUGCCUUUGUGACUGCAUAGCUAGAGUACGGUAGAGGGGGAUGGAAUUCCGCGUGUAGCAGCGAAAUGCGUAGAUAUGCGGAGGAACACCGAUGGCGAAGGCAAUCCCCUGGACCUGUACUGACGCUCAUGCACGAAAGCGUGGGGAGCAAACAGGAUUAGAUACCCUGGUAGUCCACGCCCUAAACGAUGUCAACUGGUUGUUGGGAGGGUUUCUUCUCAGUAACAUAGCUAACGCGUGAAGUUGACCGCCUGGGGAGUACGGCCGCAAGGUUGAA